rnacentral:rRNA from 1 species
AGUGAACGCUGGCGGUAGGCCUAACACAUGCAAGUCGAACGGCAGCACAGUAAGAGCUUGCUCUUACGGGUGUCGAGUGGCGGACGCGUCAGUAAUACAUCGGAAUCUACUUUUUCGUGGGGGCUAACGUCGGGAAACUUACUCUAAUACCGCAUACGACCUCCGUGUGAAAGCACGGGAUCUUCUGACCUUGCGCGAUUGUAUGAGCCUAGGUCGGAUUAGCUAGUUGGCGGGGUUAAGGCCCACCAAGGCGACGCUCGGUAGAUGGUCUGAGAGGAUGAUCAGACACACGGGAACAGAGACAGAGUACAGACUCCUAGGGGAGGCAGCAGUGGGGAAUAUUGGACGAUGGGGGAGAGCGGAAUCCAGCAAUACCGCGUGGGUGAAGAAGGACUUCGGGUUGUUAAGCCAUUUUGUUGGGAAAGAAAAGAAGCAGGUUAAUACGCCGCUGUUAUGACGGUACCCAAAGAAUAAGCACCGGCUAACUUCGUG